GGAAGGAAGGGGAUAAGGGGUAUGUACAUUAUUGAUGGACCUAUACAUUUGAGUUGAAAUCUGUGUGUUGCUCUACUAUUUACAACUAACACUAGGAUGGAAAAUUUCAUAGGAGUAAUAGUUGGCAAGGACAUCCUAUUCUAUUUAAUCUGAACACUGGAAUUGGUCGGAUAAAUAAUAGAACAAGAAGAAAAUUUUUUUUCCCUGCCUGCUUUGGGUAAUUAGAUGGAGAGUGUUAACCAUCAACUUGCUAGUUUAAUAUAGAAAAACUGUUGAAUGAUUUUCAAAGGAUUGCAAUCAGAGGCUCUUUGGAACGUUGAUUGAAAUGUGCUAUUUUGAAGAACCAUUAUUGAUGUUUAUGGAAGUGAAGGAAAUAGCAAACUGAUAUUGAUAUUGAUGUGGCAUCCUAUGACCCAGAUAAAUAAUUCUUGUUGAAUCC
rnacentral:misc_RNA from 1 species